rnacentral:rRNA from 1 species
AGCGAACGCUGGCGGCAUGCCUAACACAUGCAAGUCGCACGGUCGGGGGGUGACCUUCGGCAGUGGCGGACGGGUGAGUAACGCGUAGGGAUCUAUCCUUGGAUGGGGGACGAACCGCGGGAAACCGCGGCUAAUACCGCAUGAUGCCUGAGGGCCAAAGCUCGCGAGAGCGUCUGGGGAGGAGCCUGCGUCCGAUUAGCUAGUUGGUGGGGUAACGGCCCACCAAGGCGUCGACGGUAGCUGGUCUGAGAGGAUGAUCAGCCACACUGGGACUGAGACACGGCCCAGACUCCUACGGGAGGCAGCAGGUGGGGAAUAUUGGACAAUGGCGCAAGCCUGAUCCAGCAAUGCCGCGUGGG